CAGUAGCCGCGGGAAUACGGAGGGGGCUAGCGUUGUUCGGAAUUACUGGGCGUAAAGCGCACGUAGGCGGCUUGGUAAGUUAGAGGUGAAAGCCUGGAGCUCAACUCCAGAAUUGCCUUUAAGACUGCCGAGCUAGCAGGUGAGAGAGGUAAGUGGAAUUCCGAGUGUAGAGGUGAAAUUCGUAGAUAUUCGGAAGAACACCAGUGGCGAAGGCGGCUUACUGGCUCAUACUGGACGCUGAGGUGCGAAAGCGUGGGGAGCAAACAGGAUUAGAUACCCGAGUAGUCCCUGUCUCUUAUAC
rnacentral:rRNA from 1 species